CUGCAGAAUUUCAAAAGGUCGCUAAUGUGGACAAGACGAUUUCCAGUGGAGAUGAAGCCAUUUCAUGUCCGCACCUUGAAUGGGAC